CUCUUUUUGACCUUCAGGCACCCUCUUGGGUCUUUUACAAGUGAACUUUCUUUCCUGUUUUAAAGCCUUUUAAAUAAACUUCCACUCCUGUGCUGAAACUUGCCUUAGUCUUUUUUUCUGCUUUAUGCCCCUCAGUCGAAUUCUUUCAUCUGAGGAGGCAAGAAUUGAAGUUGCUGCAGACGCCUGUGGAUUCACCACAAGUACAUUGGAGUAACCACUGGGAACAACAGGUUGCCUUAGAAGCUUUGCAGUAGAGUUGGGGUUUCACCAUGUUCCCAGCUGGUCUUGAACUCUUGAGGUGAAGCAAUCCGCCCACCUCAGCCUCCCAAAGUGCUGAGAUUACAGACGUGAGCCAUCGCGCCUAGCCUUGCAAGUUGUUUUUUGUUGAACAGAAGAAGCUAUUCAAAAAUGUCCAGGACUCUGUUAUUUAUUCAGCAAGCUUACAAAGCCAUCUUUGAUUGACUGAUUCUUUGACAAUGACUAUCUGGAUGACACAGGAAGGAUGCAAUUCUGGCCUUGGAGAGAAAACUUGCAAGGAAAGGAACAUGUUUGAAUUUCAGAUGUGUUCCUCAAUGAAUCACGAUCUUCAGGGAAUGUUUCAGGUGGAGGAAGGGGCUCUUGGUCAAUGAGCCUGAAGACUGCAUGGCAACCUUUGCCAGCUUUUGGCCUGAAAACUCAACUUCUUCAUUUGAGAUAAUUCCUGUUUUAUAUACUUUCAUUUGAGAUAUUCCUGGUGUAUCAACUGAAACAAAAUCUAUGAAAUAUCAGAUUCACAAAAAUACAUUUUGAAUAUUGAACGUGGA
rnacentral:lncRNA from 10 species